rnacentral:rRNA from 1 species
GACGAACGCUGGCGGCGUGGAUUAGGCAUGCAAGUCGAACGGUAGGAUACCUUCGGGUAUCUGAGAGUGGCGAACGGGUGAGUAACACGUAGGUGAUCUACCCUCAAGAUUGGGACAACCCAGGGAAACUUGGGCUAAUACCGGAUGAAAGCAGCAGUGAUGUUGUUUGAAAGGUGGCGUAAGCUGCCGUUUGGGGAUGAGCCUGCGCUCUAUUAGUUAGUUGGCGGGUAAAGGCCCACCAAGGCGAUGAUAGAUAGGCGGCCUUAACGGGUGGUCGCCCACACUGGGAUUGAGAUACGGCCCAGACUCCUACGGGAGGCAGCAGUCGAGAAUAGUCUACAAUGGCCGAAAGGCUGAUAGUGCGACGCCGCGUGAACGAAGAAGCCCUUCGGGGUGUAAAGUUCUUUUAUAUGUGAGCAGUGCUUUCUAUGUGAACAGCAUGGGGAAGAGAUAUUAGCAUAUGAAUAAGCAACGGCUAACUCCGUGCC